UGCCCGGUGCUGGAAGGUUAAGGGGAUCUGUUAGAGUAAUCGAAGCAGUGAACGUAAGCCCCAGUAAACGGCGGCCGUAACUAUACCGGUCCUAAGGUAGCGAAAUUCCUGGUCGGGUAAGUUCCGACCCGCACGAAAGGCGUAACGAUUUGGGCACUGUCUCAACAACAGACUCGGUGAAAUUGUAAUUCCGGUGAAGAUGCCGGAUACC
rnacentral:rRNA from 1 species